CGGACAACUUUUAGUAUUUUGAUCAUAACUUUCUCGUCUGAUCUCUAAUUGAAGUGAUUCAAAGUGCAUUGAGAAGAAAACUCAAAGAUCUACAUUUUUGAUAGAAAUAGACUUCCUCAAAUUCUGAUGUUUACUAUGCGAAAAAUAGAUCUCAAGUAGAAACUAAAAAUCACGAGCAUAGCUUUUUCGCCUGAAAGUUGAUACUUGAUAAUAUUUCGACCCUAUUUCACCUCGUGACUCCUUUCCUCAUCCGAUUGACCUCUAACACUCUUGAAUCUUCAUUCCAUUUCCCGUCUCAUCUAUGAAUUAUUUGCAACUUGGUCCCCGAACUUUCAGUUUAAUUCAUUUUAGUCCCUUUGCAAUUCCUUCUUCUUCCAAUCAUCUUGUAUUGCUUUCGAGUUCAUACUUAGCAUAUUUGCAUUCCCGAGUUGUCUUUUAGUUCAACUUUCGAAUAUUUCCAUCCUUAGUCCUUGAACUAUCACUUUGCUCCAUUUUAGUCCUUUUUCGGCUCUCUUCUCCUGAAUUCCACUAUUUUCAUAGAAACACCUACAUUGCAUGAAUUCAAUGAGAUUAAGUCACAAUUCAAUCAUUUUGCUUGUAUUUAAGUCAUGUUUGUAAUCUAAAUAAGUAUGCAAAAACACACUUAUCAGUUGCGUCGGGGCUAGCCCAUAGGAUCUAAGUACCAUCCUAAAGAAUGGGUGAAUUGGCAGCCUAAGUCCAGCCAGAUCGCCUCGCUAAUGGCUACACAACCUGGCCUAUGGUAGCAGGCCUUCUCUUCGGGCUCGGAGAGGAUCAAAUCUAUGCUAUCAGGGAUCCUAUACUCUAUCCUAU
rnacentral:lncRNA from 1 species